rnacentral:lncRNA from 1 species
UGCGGCUCUCCGAAGCUCCUCUGAGGCGAUGGGCUUGCUUUCUGGGUCCCAGAAGCUUGGUUAGGAGUUGGCACAGGCGCCCCGGCCUCGGCUGACCCCGGCCCCGGCUGACCCCGGCCCCGGCUGACCCCGGCCCCUGAGACGUGGGUGGAUUGCUGGCAGGGAUCCGACGUGCAGAACCUGAGGAAGCAGUUUCCAAGAUAAUUUUAACAGCCUUGACUACUGUUACUAAGUCUCCUCCGUCCCACCAGCAUCAGCGCCACAAACCUGGAACCUCCGUCCCUGCCGCUGCAGCUUGCCCCCAGAGCUCGCUGCCGAGUGCGGGCCACACAGUAUCUGAAUCUAUCCUGCAGAAGCACCAAGGGGCCAUAAAGGCCAUGGUUAUGAGCUCCAGAAGAUAGAGCAGAAAUGAACAACAGAGAGAGGGGUUCUCUGGGGCUCUUCAAUGAAAAUUGAAGCCCACUGGGAAAGUGAAGAAAACCUCUGCAAUAAAGGCACACUGGACCACUGUGAUUGGUAAGUUGGUGGGAUCAGCACCUCCCAUAGAAACCCGGGCUCACUUUGGAGGAAGGACAGCUGGAUCCUGCAGUAGAACCUUGCAGAGUUUAGUCCUGCAAGAGGUCAGGGACCCUGUUUUGGAUUGUUUUUUUCUCUCCUCCCUUCUCUUGACUGUCACUUCUUAUCAGAAGGUGAAUACAGUUUCUAGCUUCCCUGUGGCUCUUAGCUUGUUCUGUUCUUGCUCUUUUUUUUUUUUUUUGGGUACUAGGGAUUGAACUCAGGUCCUUGCGCUUGUGCAGCAGGCGGCGAAACCACUGAGCUAAAUCCCCGGCCCUGUUCUGUUCUUGUCAGUGUUCCUUCACUCUGCCUUUUCCUCCUGUCUUCAACAGUUUUCUACAAUUUGCAUGAUAUUCCUGUCUCCUCUGGCCUCAGUUUUUUUUUUCCUCACUUUUAACCUUUUCCUCUCCUUCUAUCUCUCUAUCCCUCCCACCCCAACCUCUUCUAAAUCCUUAUCUCAGUGGGUAAAUUUGCUAUGUUGAAAGGUUUAUUUACUACAAACAUAUUUUGGGCUGGUUCUUGACUGUGAUCUACCUCAAGCGGUUAAAGGUGACAGACUAAUUGCUACCACAUAUUGUUAUUUUCUAAGCUGUGUUUGAUGCUGUUGUUGUUGCUGAUUGUAGCAACUGGGCUAAGGUGUCAUGAUUGAUCUAAUCAGUUGUCCUCUCUGGUAUACUGAAAACAAGAUUGCCUGAGUCAUUAGAGACUCAAAGCCUAAAAAGACCAGCUAUAACCUGGAAGAUAUCUCUGAGAAGCAGUCACUCCAUAAGGGCUCUAAACACAAGUAAUAAAGAUUCAAUAAGCAGUAUUGAAUUAUCAGCCCAGGAAUUAAACCAAAAAACAGCACCAACAACAAACUUAGAAAUGAGAAGACAUUUACGCCAGGCGCAAACCCAGACUUCCAGCUCACCAAAGGCAAAUUCUGGGGGAAAUGAGGUGGAAAAAAAUCUGAUGAUCAGCCACCUGGACACCCUGAACUGAUAGCACAGGAAGUAAUAAAACAGAUGAAUGAGGCUCUAGAAAAAUUCAAAACAAAUAAUUUCCCAGAUAACUACAGAGAUGGUGAGCAGAAUGAAAGACAUGAUUCUAGAAUAGAAUUCUAGACUCUAGAGCAGAAACAGAUAAAAAAAAAAAAUAGAUGAGCUUAGGCCCAUGAUGGAAGCUAUGAAUGCCCAGCAUGGGAAAGAAAUGGAAACCAUGAAUGCCCAACAUAGGAAAGAAAUGGAAUCCAUGAAACAGAUUCGAACAAAUAUUCAAGAGAUUAAAAACUCAAUUGAAAGUAUUCACAGCAGAUUGAGUGAAUGUGAAGAUAGAAUAUCAGGUAUAGAAGACAGGAUUGCAGUUAGUGACAAUGUUACCAAGUCCCAUAGUCACCCUUCACUUUGGUUGCUAAGGGUGGGGUUUCUAGGGUAGCCAUAAUUAAAACCUCUAUGGGACUACACCCGUCCUUAGCUAAUUUUUUGAGGCCCCUCAAAGACAGUAUCCCUUACAGGAAGUAAGGAAUAAAUGGAAAAUACAGGACUACUUGAGUUUAUAUGUCCUUUCCUCUCAGUGACUUAAGACAGAUUAAACAAACAAGAUCUAAAAAAGUUUUUCAGACAACCCAAAUGAGUACAUUGUGGUUGUUAGAGGACUUGCUCAGACCUAUGAACUAGAUUAGAAUGCUGCAGAGCAGCUCAGUGCUAUAGCCAAGUGCCACAGCUCUGAGGUGCAGCUGAGCUUUACAGCUCAGUGUGGCAGCUCUGGGUCACAGCUCUCAUAAUUUGAAGACUUGAGAAUCCAGUGGGCUAGGGAUUUAGCUCAGUGGUUUCGCUGCCUGCUGUGCGAGCGCAAGGAUCCGAGUUCGAUCCCUGGUACCAAAAAAAAAAAAAAUCUUUCUAGGGGCUGGGAUUUAGCUCAGUGGUGCUGCCACCUGCCUCGCAAGUGCAAGGUCCCAAGUUUGAUCCCCCGUAUCAAAAAAAAAAAAAAAAAAAGAAUCCAAUGGUGAGUAGGAGAGGUGGAGAAAAAAACUUUAUUACACUGUUGAGCUCCCAGCGGGCUCAGGAGUCUGAGCACUUUACCAGAAAUGAGAGCCUCCUUGUAUAGGGAUCUACAAGGUAGGCGAGCAUGCUCAAUGAAGCAGGGGCAGAAUUACAGAAUAUUCCUGAAACACAUGCCGUGUGAGCAUGCUCAGUGAAGCGGGGGGGGCAGAGUUACAGAACCUUCCUGAAAGGUCACACAGUUCAAACAGUCACAAACCAUUUUGACACAUUGGGCCGGAGCCCAGCAGCACAAACUUCAUUUCCAAAACAAAACAUUCUGUGGAAAGAAAUGGAGGCACGGCAAGGGCCUGUCUUAUUCUAUAGGACUUCUCUAUCAAGCCAAGCAGCAUUACAAACUGCUACUGCAUUUAGAGAUAAAUAGUAUCAUAGCAGGCAGGGGAACAGCUGGUUCCUACUAGAGACCAAACAGUCCCUAUACAAAACCUCCACUGGCCUGCCAGCCAGACAGGAGAUUAAGAUAGAAGACACUUUCAGGCAUGUAUUCUUGAAGGUUUAAGAAAGAUGAGAACUUGGCUAGGAAUUUAGCUCAGUGGCCCUGCACCUGCCUCGCGAGUGUAAGGUCUUGAGUUCCAUCCCUGGUACCAAAGGCAGGGGGGAAGAUGAGAACUAAACCCUUCAGUUAUUUCAGAUCACCAUCUGUUUAUCAGGAGAACAGUAAGGACAUCUGUAGCUCCUGAUUUGAGAAAAGGAAAUACUGUAGUUUUUUCCGAAGUCACAAUCUUGCAAUAUGUAGAUGGUACAAUGUCAUGUGCCCCCUCAGAAGAGGUCUCUAGCUAAGGCACCCAUGCUCUGCUGAAUUUUCUAACAGACAGGGAUUAUAAGGUUUCUAGAUCUAAAGAACAAAUUCAUAGCUUUGAGGGAGAAUAUUUGGGCCUUAUGUCUGCGGGAACCUGAAGAAAGAAUUAAACCAAUUCUUUCCCUCCCACAGCCCAAGACUCUGAAACAGCUAAGGGGAUUCCUAGGAAUUACAGGUUUUUGAUGACUUUAGAUAACAGGAUAUAGUGAGAUUUCAUGACCCCUCUAUCAGCUUAUAGUUUUUUUUUGUUGUUGUUUUUUUUUUGUUACCGGGGAUUGAACUCGGGUUCUUGGCGCUUGCACAGCAGGCAGUGAAACCACUGAGCUAAAUCCUCGGCCCCUGCCUCUGUCAGCUUAUAAAGAAACCCAGAAGACAUGUACUCAUAUUUUAACCUGGGAACCUGAUUAACACUUUCACUUCCUCUGUCACUCUCUUUCAAGAGGCUAAAAAUCAGUCUUUCGGGUUCUUUGAUUAUUCGUUUAAAUUUCUGCUUGGCAAUGUGGUUAGAGUAAGCCAUAGUUGUUUCCUCUGGAGACAUGUUUUGCUAAAGAUUAGAGAUUCACUUUGGAAACACACUUGAUUUUAAUUGUCUGCACCUGAGAUGGUUACGGUUUAGUUCUUGUGCCAUACUUAGAGUAACUCUUCUGUCCUUUCUCCACUGCCCUGCCUCUAAAAGACAGUUUUCAGCAGUGUUUGGUUCAAGGCAAUUUCCUCCUCUAUGGCUGCUGGAUUUUGGGACUAAGCUUCCAGAAUGGUGAGUUUCCCUUUCCUGGGACCCUUCCAGAGUAAAGCUGACUUUCAUUUAUCUCUGGGCCAUAUUUAAAAAAAAAAAAGAAAAGAAAAGAAACUGGCUUAGAUUUAAUCCUGAAACUCUCAAAAAAUAAAGUUUUAGUCCAAGUUUAUCUGCCUUUAAGUCCUUAGGCAGAAUUAGAGAUUAACUCGUCUUCCCUCACUCCUCAAAAAUGACACUGAUUGGUUUUUAUAACACAAGACAGACUGAUUUUUAUAACACAUAUAAUAAGUUCAGCGAUAGAAUGAGACAUUCCUGGGGAACUUUAUGAGUUUAACAAUAGCUUUAAACAAAAAACAGUUAUUAAAGAAUAGGCACUGGGCCAGGGAUUUAGCUCAGUGGUUCUGCUGCCUGCCUUGCCAAGUGCAAGGUCUCGAGUUCAAUCCCCUGUACCACCAAAAAAAAAAAAAAAAAAAAAAAAGGGGAUAGGCACAACUCCAGUCCCCAGAGGACUGCCUCUCUUCAUGAUUUCUCGCCAGGACAUCUUGCCAGGCUGGCCACUAUUAUCAGAGAUAUGCUAAUUGAGGCUUUGAAAAAAAGGCCUAUAGCUAAGUAUGGUCCAAGGGUUAGAGGCAAAAUGAGAAAAACUGUCACAGGUAGGCAUCUACAGCAGGACAGAUUAGAACCCUGCUUAAAAUAUAUACUUAGCUCCAGUGGGUGCCACCUAGUCUCUUUCUACAUCCAAACCUGGCUUACACACCCACCCCUAGAAGUAGUUAAAAUUACCUUUCAACAGUCUGCUGCUCUAGAGGAAACAGUUACAUGUGGCUAUCAAGCAGCAUUUCUGGCUUUCAACAGUUGUGACUCUUCAACAGCUAUGGCUAUGAAAGCAACAAUAAAAAGCCUGUAUAGCUAGAUGUUCCAAUCAGAUAAAUCAUCAGCCUAGGGCCCAUCUUAAAAACUGCCUUUGCUUUCACAGGUGUAAAAGGUUUUUUUUUCUUCUAAUUCGUAUUGUAAGAGAUCUCUGUUAAUUGACCUACAAAAGUUCUGGCUAGUCUUAUUUAUACUUACAUAAAACUAUAAAAAGUUUAUUAUAAUUUGACUUGGCC